GGGGGGGGGGGAGCUGUACUAGAAACCACUAGGUGACUCAAAGCCUGAGCAAUAGCAAAACAUUACAAUUUAACAAUUUUGAUUUUUAGGUUAAACAAAGGUUCUGUGCCAUUGCUCAUUAACACCAACCCAUUACUCGAGUAUAUGUAUUUCAUUUGAAAACACCUUGAUCAGGUACUUCAUGUCAGAUCUUUAUAAUUUUUUCAAAGUUUUUAAUAUUUAAUAAAAUAACUUUAGGCUGUCAGGUCUUGCAAUGAUGUUCAAAUCGAAUUACUUCACCUGAAGUUUCAAGUUGAAGACAAGCGCUAACCUCUGAGCAAAGACCUUGACAUAUCAUUGUUCUAAACUGUCCUCUCUAAAAGUCUAGAGCUGGAUAGCUCUAUCAGUUCCAAACUGUUCUUCCUAGAGGUCCAGUAAGGAUCAUCUCUUAUUGAUCCAGUGUUACUACAGGAGGAAACCUAAACUAAACUAAACUAACUUUAUUUAUACUAGAUAGCUCUAUCAGUUCUAAAUUGUUCUUCUUGGAGGUCCAGUGAGGAUCAUCUCUUAUUGAUCCAGUGUUACUACAGGAGGAAACCUAAACUAAACUAACUUUAUUUAUACUGGAUAGCUCCAUCAGUUCUAAACUGUUCUUCUCGGGUCAAACUCUUGACAUAAUAAUAUGUAUUUUAUAGCUUGAAAAAUGUCAGGGCAUAAAUACUGAUGGAAUAAAGGUAAAAUACAAAUUAUUCUUUGAUCGUGUUGAGCUACAGAAACGUUAUGCUUGAAGCAACUGAAUAGUACGAACAUGCUGCAGUGAUGAAUUUUGAUUUUUCAACUGAAUCACUGAAUGUUGAUUCGAAUCGAGCUUUUUAAAACUGAGCAGACAUGUAUGUUCAUUGUUAGCUAACGGGUAUGCAUUGGCAACAAAAUUUAAAUAUGUUUAGACCGAAAGAACUCGUUAAACCGUAGAAUAAGUUGUCUUACAAAAUUUUUACAUCUUUGGUGAGAAGAUAUUUGAGUUUAUUUGAUAUUUAAAUAAGAUGACGUUUCAUACCAGAAUUAAUGACUCGAUACAGACUUAUAUGAUUUCAUCGGUUUAGAAGAGUAUUAGCAUUGUGACUACCAUCUUUGAAAACUACCAGCUUGCAAUGUCAUAUAUUUGUUUCAUUUGCAUUUCAAACAAACUAAAAUGUCCUGUUCAAGAACGAAAAAGAUAAAGAAAUUCAAAUGACUUAUUUCUUACAGUUUAAUGAGUUCUUCCUGUGUAACUGAGACUUGAAUUUCAUUGCUGGUGAUACCUUUUCGAUAAUUUCAUUGUGUUGACUUGUAUAAAAACAUCUAUUGUACCAUGUGCUUUCAUAUUUAAUAUAGAUUUCAUAUCUCAUCGAGGCCCAAGUUGGUUGAAGGACUCGCUAUUAUGACACCACCUUCCCAUGAACAACAUGGAACAAAGAUUUAUCUUUAUAAAAGGUAACACCACUCUCCUCUGCAGUCUGCAACGCUACUAUCCCAACAUUACCAUUAUUUGAGAUGGCCGAAUCUGCAUGUUCGCCGUUCUGUUACGUUUUAC
rnacentral:lncRNA from 1 species